GUGAAAGUCGGCCGCCCGGAGAAGCUGACGUACGAGGAUGGGCCUGCGUCCUAUCAGCUGGUUGGUGGGGUAGCGGCCUACCAAGGCGACGACGGGUAGCUGGUCUGAGAGGAUGAUCAGCCACACUGGCACUGGAACACGGGCCAGACUCCUACGGGAGGCAGCAGUGAGGAAUUUUGCGCAAUGGCCGCAAGGCUGACGCAGCAACGCCGCGUGGGUGAUGAAGGCCUUCGGGUCGUAAAGCCCUGUCAGGUGGGAAGAAAGGCCUGGAGAGGAAAGGUUUCAGGUUUGACGGUACCACCAGAGGAAGCACCGGCUAACUCCGUGCCAGCAGCCGCGGUAAAAGGGCGAAUUCGUUUAAACCUGCAGGACUAGUCCCUUUAGUGAGGGUUAAUUCUGA
rnacentral:rRNA from 1 species